UAUUAAAAUUGUUGCGUCUAAAAAGCUCGUAGUUUGAAAACUUGCCUUGGCUUACAACAGGUUUCCAAUGGAGGCCGCCGUUUGUCGGGAGCAAAUAUAGAUGACUGUUUUCGCCGACUUCAUUGUCCGGCUUAUAAGAGUCAUCAAAUAUCACUUUGAUUAAAUUAGAGUGCUUAAAGCAAGUGUGUUACUUGGAUAUAAAUGCAUGGAAUGAUGGAAUAUGUUGUUGUUCUAUUUGUUGGUUUUUGAACGAUAAAAUGAUUGAAAGGAACUGUUGGGGGCAUUCGUAUUGUUGUGAGAGGGGUGAAAUUCUUAGACCACAGCAAGACGAACUACUGCGAAAGCAUUUGCCAAGAAUGUUUUCAUUGAUCAAGAACGAAAGUUAGAGGUUCGAAGGCGAUCAGAUACCGCCCUAGUUCUAACCAUAAACUAUGCCAACUAGCAAUUUGCUUAUGUUCUUUAUAUGACUAAGUGAGAGGCCACGGGAAACCAAAGUAGGGUUAUGGGGGAAGUAUGGUUGCAAAGCUGAAACUUAAAGGAAUUGACGGAAGGGCACCACCAGGAGUGGAGCCUGCGGCUUAAUUUGACUCAACACGGGAAAACUUACCUGGUCCUGACACUAGAAGGAUUGACAGAUUGAUAGCUCUUUCUUGAUUUGGUGGAUGGUGGUGCAUGGCCGUUCUUAGUUGGUGGAGUGAUUUGUCUGGUUAAUUCCGAUAACGAACGAGACUCUAGCCUAUUAAAUAACACACAGAAUCUCGUCUUCUGUGGUGUUUCUUAAUGGGAUCAAGUGUGUUUAACGCUUUGAAACAGAGCAAUAACAGGUCUGUGAUGCCCUUAGAUGUUCGGGGCCGCACGCGCGCUACAUUGAGAGACAAAAUGAGUUUUUUAGUCUUUAAUAAGGCUAGUAAUCUUUGAAUGUUUUUCUUAAUGGGGAUAGGGGAUUGCAAUUGUGCCCCUUGAACGAGGAAUUCCCAGUAAGUGCUAGUCAUUAGCUAGUACUGAUUACGUCCCUGCCCUUUGUACACACCGCCCGUCGCUACUACCGAUUGAAUGGUUUAGUGAGAUCAUCUGAGUAGAUGUGCAUGUGCUCUGCAUGUGUAAUGUUUGCAAUGAAGAUCAAACUUGAUCAUUUAGAGGAAGUAAAAGUCGUAACAAGGUUUCCGUAGGUGAACCUGCGG
rnacentral:rRNA from 1 species